rnacentral:piRNA from 1 species
UCCCAGCAGCCAUGAAAGCAGUAACGC